UACAGAGGGGGCAAGCGUUGUCCGGAAUCAUUGGGCGUAAAGCGCGCGUAGGCGGCCCGGUAAGUCCGCUGUGAAAGUCGGGGGCUCAACCCUCGAAUGCCGGUGGAUACUGUCGGGCUAGAGUGCGGAAGAGGCGAGUGGAAUUCCUGGUGUAGCGGUGAAAUGCGCAGAUAUCAGGAAGAACACCCGUGGCGAAGGCGGUUCUCUGGGACGGUACUGACGCUGAGACGCGAAAGCGUGGGGAGCGAACAGG
rnacentral:rRNA from 1 species